CCUACGGGGGGCAGCAGUAAGGAAUAUUGGUCAAUGGUGGGAACACUGAACCAGCCAUCCCGCGUGCAGGACGAAGGCCCUCUGGGUUGUAAACUGCUUUUACCAGGAAAGAAACGGGCGGUCUUGACCGCCCCUGACGGUACCUGGGGAAUAAGCACCGGCUAACUCCGUGCCAGCAGCCGCGGUAAUACGGAGGGUGCGAGCGUUAUCCGGAAUCACUGGGUUUAAAGGGUGCGUAGGCGGCCCGGUAAGUCAGGGGUGAAAGCUUCCCGCUC
rnacentral:rRNA from 1 species